rnacentral:sRNA from 1 species
UAUAGUAUCUUCAUGCUGAAAUGCCAAGCUUCCAUGAAGUGCUGAGAAUAGCCUAGAAAACUCGUAGUGGGCAGGAGGAAGAUCAUUUCUAAAUACUGUGGUUAUUUCUGAAGUCCUCUGAAGGCGAGAUCUAGAGAAGGUGUUUGGCCUUUGGGAAGCUUCAGAAACCCAGAUAAUUGCAGUGAAGAAGCCUGAAGAUGCAAGAAAUCCUUCUCUACACCCAAGUUCCACAUCAGCCCCACCGGAAUGAUCAUGGAAGGAGCUCAGCUCCACAUUAAGUGCACCAUUCAAGUGACUCACCUGGCCCAGGAGUUUCCAGAAAUCAUAAUUCAGAAGGACAAGGCGAUUGUGGCCCACAACAGACAUGGCAACAAGGCCGUGUACUCAGUCAUGGCCAUGGUGGAGCACAGUGGCAACUACACGUGCAAAGUGGAGUCCAGCCGCAUAUCCAAGGUCAGCAGCAUCGUCGUCAACAUAACAGAACUAUUUUCCAAGCCCGAACUGGAAUCUUCCUUCACACAUCUGGACCAA